rnacentral:rRNA from 1 species
UGGGGAAUAUUGCACAAUGGGCGCAAGCCUGAUGCAGCCAUGCCGCGUGUGUGAAGAAUGCCUUUGGGUUGUAAAGCACUUUCAGCGGGGAGGAAGGCGGUGAGGUUAAUAACCUCAUCGAUUGACGUUACCCGCAGAAGAAGCACCGGCUAACUCCGUGCCAGCAGCCGCGGUAAUACGGAGGGUGCAAGCGUUAAUCGGAAUUACUGGGCGUAAAGCGCACGCAGGCGGUCUGUCAAGUCGGAUGUGAAAUCCGCGGACUCGACCUGGGAACUGCAUUCGAAACUGGCAGGCUAGAGUCUUGUAGAGGGGGUUAGAAUUACAGGUGUAGCGAUGAAAUGCGUAGAGAUCUGGAGGAAUACCGGUGGCGAAGGCGGCGCCCUGGACUAAGACUGACGCUCAGGUGCGAAAGAGUGGGGAGCAAACAGG